GCAUAUUUCUGCAGAGGACAAGAUCCAGAUUAUAAAAGUAUCAUGGACAAUAAAUAAUUACACUUGCUCAAAAAAACCAAGAAAAUUAAAUUUGAAAGGCAAAAAAUUUCAUAAAUUGUUUUUACCACUUAGAGUAGGGCUUCUUGGUUCUAGGCUUUUAAAAUACAGAUAAUUUCUGCUAAACAACUGUUUCAGAGCUAGAAAAAGAUAGAAAGCUACACCUAAAUCAUUCUACAAUUUGGACACAAACUGGACAAAGACUGCACCAAGGAUUCAAGAAAUACUUGAAUGCUAAAAUCUUAAAGAUAGUAAUAGUAAACCAAAUAAAGCAAUAGGUUAAAUAA